GGGGGAUAUUGCACAAUGGGGGAAACCCUGAUGCAGCGACGCCGCGUGGAGGAAGAAGGUUUUCGGAUUGUAAACUCCUGUCGUUAGGGACGAUAAUGACGGUACCUAACAAGAAAGCACCGGCUAACUACGUGCCAGCAGCCGCGGUAAAACGUAGGGUGCAAGCGUUGUCCGGAAUUACUGGGUGUAAAGGGAGCGCAGGCGGGAAGACAAGUUGGAAGUGAAAACCAUGGGCUCAACCCAUGAAUUGCUUUCAAAACUGUUUUUCUUGAGUAGUGCAGAGGUAGAUGGAAUUCCCGGUGUAGCGGUGGAAUGCGUAGAUAUCGGGAGGAACACCAGUGGCGAAGGCGGUCUACUGGGCACCAACUGACGCUGAGGCUCGAAAGCAUGGGUAGCAAACAGGAUUAGAUACCCUGGUAGUCCAUGCCGUAAACGAUGAUUAUUAGGUGUUGGGGGAU
rnacentral:rRNA from 1 species